rnacentral:rRNA from 1 species
CCUGCGGAAGGAUCAUUACCGAGUGAGGGCCCUCUGGGUCCAACCUCCCACCCGUGUUUAUUUUACCUUGUUGCUUCGGCGGGCCCGCCUUAACUGGCCGCCGGGGGGCUUACGCCCCCGGGCCCGCGCCCGCCGAAGACACCCUCGAACUCUGUCUGAAGAUUGUAGUCUGAGUGAAAAUAUAAAUUAUUUAAAACUUUCAACAACGGAUCUCUUGGUUCCGGCAUCGAUGAAGAACGCAGCGAAAUGCGAUACGUAAUGUGAAUUGCAAAUUCAGUGAAUCAUCGAGUCUUUGAACGCACAUUGCGCCCCCUGGUAUUCCGGGGGGCAUGCCUGUCCGAGCGUCAUUGCUGCCCUCAAGCACGGCUUGUGUGUUGGGCCCCGUCCUCCGAUCCCGGGGGACGGGCCCGAAAGGCAGCGGCGGCACCGCGUCCGGUCCUCGAGCGUAUGGGGCUUUGUCACCCGCUCUGUAGGCCCGGCCGGCGCUUGCCGAUCAACCCAAAUUUUUAUCCAGGUUGACCUCGGAUCAGGUAGGGAUACCCGCUGAACUUAAGCAUAUCAAUAGGCCGGAGGA